rnacentral:tRNA from 1 species
UACUAUUUUGGCAGAUUAGUGUAAUAAAUUUAGAAUUUAUAAAUGUAUAUUUAUACAAAUAGUAU